ACAGCCUGAAACAAGCUCACCCGUAGCUA
rnacentral:piRNA from 1 species